CCGCCUAUAGCUCAGUUGGUAGAGCAGUCGCCUCUUAAGCGAACGGUCAUAGGUUCAAAUCCUAUUAGGCGGA
rnacentral:tRNA from 1 species